rnacentral:misc_RNA from 1 species
AGCAGUGACAGUAGUAGUGAUGAUCUAGAGGGGGAUGAUACAAAAGAUGUUGGUCCAGACAGCUCAGAUUCAUUUGAUAAAGAAGGCAUGCCUGCUGAAGUUGAUUUCAAUGCGGGGGCAGAAACUGCAGAAAAAGUUCUCAAGAAUUUGAUGAUGUCUUCAUCCAAAGUUUCCAUUCCUUCUGAUGUGGAUGAUUCCACACUGCCAAAGGGAAACAAGAAGCCUAAUUCAGAUUAAAACUAUUAAUGUGCCAAAUGAGAAACAAGGAAAUUCUUCUCGUGUUACUCUACCUGGAAGCUCGGGCAAAAGCAGUUCAACUGACAUUCAAAAGAGA